AAGACCACAUAUUAUAUGAAUCAAUUUAUAUGAAGUAUCCAGAAUAGGCAAAUCCACAGAAACAGAAAACACAUUAGUGAUUGUCACAGGCUGGGGGCAAAGAGGAUUGGAAGUGACUGCUAAUGGAUAAGUGAUUUCUUUUGAGGGUGAUGGAAAUAUUCUGGAAAUAGUAGUGGUGGUAAGACAUUGUAAAUGUACUAAGGGCCAAUGAAUUGUACACUUUUGUUUGUUUUCAAGAGAACAUUUAUUGGGUAAAUUACAGAGGUAGAAAAAGUAAUUCCUAGAUGAAAUGGGCUUAGGAAAUGAGUUAUGGAGGUAAAGGGCCCUUGGUGCUUGGGAGAAAGGAAGCCAGGUAACCUGCCUGGGGCAGGGAGUGGGAGGGAAAGCAUGGGGAGUCCUCCAUCCUAAGGGUUUUAAGGAUGAUUUUAGGGGAGGUCCUUUGUUAGGCACCUGGGGCUUUCCAUCUAGGUGACUUUCUGUACCUGGCCCAUUAUCCUUGUUCUGCUCAUUGUCUGUCUAAUUGCAUACUACAAUAAGACCCCCUGCCUUUCCCUAAGGGAAGGUCUGAAUUGUACACUAUUUUUUUUUUUCAAUAUAUUUUUAUUGAUUUCAGAGAGGAAGAGGGAGAG